rnacentral:rRNA from 1 species
GGAGUUAGGAAAUGUAGGUGCGAUAAUACCGUGCCUAUUUGACAAAGGCUCCAAAGGAAGCCACGGCUAACUCUGUGCCAGCAGCCGCGGUAGUACAGAGGUGGCAAGCGUUGUUCGGAAUUAUUGGGCGUAAAGAGCACGUAGGUGGAUUUGUUAGUCAGAUGUGAAAGCCUUUCGUUCAACGGAAGAAUUGCAUCUGAAACUACAAACCUUGAGUAUAGGAGGGGAGAGUGGAACUUCUGGU